UGCUUGUGUCCGAGAUCUCGUUCUUUCGGUCACGACCCAUAGCUCGUGACCAUAGGUGAGGGUUGGGACGUAGAUCAACCAAUAAUUGAGAGCUGACGCAGCACCGAUCCGCCUGUCGGUCUCACGCUUCGCUCCAAAACAAAAGUUCAAUGCUUGGUCAGCCUGCAGUAAGCUUGAUAAACAGCCUCGUGGUGACAGCGAUGUGACUCAUCCGAACAAAGCCACAUACUGUAGCUACUCUGUGCACUUCGGUAAGAGGAAUGACUCCAGAUUUUAAUAAAGGGUAAAUAGUGGAGCUUUUCUGCAAUGCAUUGCUGAUUACAUGCACAUGGGAAGCCUAUUAGUCGAGGAAAGAGUGCAGACAAAAGCGUUAUUGAUUAGACGGACAGUUAGAAUCCUAC